UUACUCUGGGAAGUGUCACUAGGACCUUUCUGUUGAGAAGAAAACCUACCAGCAAAGUCACGGCCCUGCCGAAAAGGAGCAAGGAAGGGUUGUGGUGGACCCCACACAAACAUGAGCUCACAGUGUGCUCUCACUGGGGCUGAUGAAAGCUACAUCAGGAGUGUGGCUGGUGAGGCUGCUUGUCCUCCUCUGCUUGGUGCUGGUGAGUCCUCACCUGAACCAGCACCUUCUUUUGGGUCUCUCAGGUCGAGAGGGAUGCUGAUAAACUGGGCUGCAUCUGAUGGAGGGCUAGUGGCAUGGCGAGGACCUACCACCCAUAGCCUGCAAGGGAGAUGGGCUUGUUUAGGCUGGCAAAGAAGCAGCGAAGGGAUGAUCUGAUAACGGCCAGCAAUUCUGGUAGGGAGUUAGAGAGACAAUAGAGCCAAACAAGGGCUGAUGGCCACAAGUUAUGGCUUGGACAGUUAGAUGGGACACAGGGAAGAACUUCCCCACACAGGGUUUAUCUUUGCUCUGAAGCGAUGCCCAGGCCAAUGCUUGCCAGCUAUUUCACUUGCAGACCAGGGCUGUGAGCUUGGGUGUCCUGGCCAAAAGCCAGGCUGGGUAGCCCACCUUGCAGCGUGAAUCAGCCAGGAACUUCUCAGUUCCUUCCUGGGUAAAACCCACGUGUUGUGGUGCUUUCAUGUGCAGGGGCUGCGUGCUGCUCUCUGGGAUCCUGCUGUGGGCCCUUUCGUUCACACCAGGGCCGCCUCAGGCUUUAAAGCAGGAGUAAAUUCUGCUUGCAUACAGAUGAAAGCUGCUUGAGCGAGCUAGAGAGCUGUGAAGUGACCUUUGUGUAAUGGGAAUUGGGGCCUAUGGAGAAAGCAUUAGGUAUUUCUCUGGCUGAGGGCAUUUGGUCUUGUUCUGUCAGGAGCUGCACCCAGCCGAGAGGCCUUCCCUGCCUGGCCUUGGAUCCUUGGGAGGCUGCAGCCAGUUCUCCGAGGGGUAGCGAUCCAAGGCUCUGUCAUCUUCAGGGAUCACUGCAGUGUGUUUGCCCUCGGCUAAGCUUGAAGGAGCCCUGCAAGCUGCAGCUCAGGCAGGAGAUGAUUGUGCACUUAUCUGUGCUGCUUCCACUGAACCUGUGACACACUCGGCAGCACCAGCCUCCUGCAGGAGCCUGAGUGCAGCUCAAGGUGACGUUUUCAAAGGGGAACAGCCUUUCUGGGUUGGCUUGUGUGACCUGGAGAGCUUCCCUCUGUUUUCAGUCCUCCAUGGCACUUCAGAUCAGUGACAGUGUCAGACCACUGGCUGUGGUCUUUGCACAGCUUCCAUCUCGACCCAGCUUGCUGUAACCCAGGUAUUUUGAUUUUUGGUGUUCUGGUGAAAACUGCUCUUUCAGCCUGCACAAGCAAUAUGGAGUAAGGAGAAGCUUUGGAUUUUUUUUUUUUUUAAAUUUAUUUUAUUCUAUUAAUUCUCAUUUGAUUCAGAUUCUUUGCUGAGGCUACUUUCCUCCACUCUGAUAAAUAUGAGCAUAAACAAUGCUCACAACCCCCCCCUUCCUAUAACCAGAACACUGCAAAGAAGGGAACAAGAAUUAGGUCUAACCUCGCAGGACGUGUCUGCAUGCACCAGGUCAGCUGCCGGCAGUUUACAGCCCUGCAGUCGCAGGCUCAGAGUGGAUAUAAGCAAGCAAGCAAAUGCCUUUCCAGGGUGGCUGUCCCUGGGGACUGUCGGCUGUGGUGCUUGGCCACAGGAACCUGCUGUCCUCUCAGCUGACUGCCUAAUAGUGCCUCUGACUUUAAUAAACCAAAGACAGAAGAGAUUACUAAAUGGUAGCUAAUAAACAAAGUGACAUGCAUGAAGUCUGGUGAUAUAAUAUUGCUCUUAAAGAAAGUAUGAUAAAUAGUAAUCACGGUCAUUGUUAUUACUGUCUUGUCCUUCAGCAGGCUUAAACUAUCCAUCAUGCUGAUAAGGCUGAAAGGAACACCCGGCAAUAUAAGAUGCAUAUAUCAUGUGGCUGGCUGCCUGCGCUGCGCCCGGUCUGCACUGGGACUGCAUUUGCUCCUCUCCAACAUGGGCCCAACAGAUAAAUUUGAGCAGAAGUGAAGCAGGGAGAGCCAGCCGACAUAGCCACCAUUUGCAGAAGAUCAGCACUGAAACAGCAGCUCUGCAACAGAAAGCACGGAGGCCUGAGCAAUGAGGUGGCAUGGGCUGGGGAUUGAUUUUGGUGUAGCAACACACCUAAACCACAAGUGUGAGCUGGACCAGCAGAGGGAGGAAAGCAGAUUGAUUUAUGUGGUGUGGGCAGUCAGCUAAGUGUUGUAGCACUGCUAACUGCAGGCAGGCUGAACAGUCAGUUUUAUGGGAGAAGAGUUUAGCCCUGGGUAAAUUGUAGAUGACUUUCCAGUGGCAUGCCCAGAGAAUAAGAGUCACUAAAGAUGAGGACAGGACGGACAGCUGAAUGUGCAGUGCCAGGCGCUGGCAGGGGCCUGUGCCCUGCCAUUUGCCCUUCAGCCCUGUUCCUGCCAGGCCCAGUGACUCAGGCAGGGUGGGCCUGGUGGGCUCGCUGAGCCUCACUGUCCACCUCUGCCCGCCCUCACGGCAGCAGGCUCCGCAGGUGGGCUGCCCUCCGGGACACACAGUGUGUCCCCCUGGCAGCAACCAAGGCAGCUUCAUGGCCUUGGUGCUGGAUUAGGGCCGACGGCCUCGCCUGGCCUCCCGCUGCAGUGCUCGCCUGGGACGAGUGGCCCCGUCCGUCGGCGCCGCGCAGAGAUGGCCAUGCCUGCCACUUACAAGGGUCCUGCUGGUACUGGAUUAGCUAUGCAGCAUCUCCAGGAGGGAAACUGAGGCACAAAACAGAUAAAUGAGGCACCCAGCACAACCCACUGAGCCAUUGUCAUUGUUCUGAUUGCUUCUGUGGACCCUCCACCAUCCGAGUCACCAGAAAAAUCGACAUAACUUUAUACUCCAGGCCAGUUUUGAGUUAGCUAUCAAAGAUUUGAGCAAGAAUUUAGCAGAACACUGAAACGCAUUAGGCAUCUGUCUGGAUAGUGGAAAUAUUUGCAGUCACAAUAUACUAAAAAUGUGUCAGCUAGCUCUUGUUUGGUGGUAAGAAAGAAUUUCCUGAUAGGCAACUUGUUAUAUAGUUAUUCUUUACUGGUGGUGAAAACUUCUUCUGAAGCAUCUGGUACUUACAAACAUGGAAGAUACGAGCAAGAUGAACUAAUGGACUCAUUAGAUAUGAAGAUUCAUGUGUUUAUCUUUAAUGAAGAAGGUGCUGCCUAUACAAUGGACCUCUCCAACAUAUAAUAUGUUGCCAUGAUUUUGGUCACUCUAUGUUACAGUCUUUGAAGCCUACACUCCUGUAUUAAAGAUGAGAAUGCUGGUUUCUGGUCCAUUUUAUAGCUUUGUGUGCCUUCCUGAGCCAGGGUUGCAGCCUCACAAUGGUGUAAGUAUAUCAGGCCUUCCCUUGGGGCAGCAGGAUGGGUUAUAUAACCCUGAAAGUCUCCCUUCCAGACCGAUCUUCCACGAUUGAAAUGCACAUGCACCUUGGAGGAAUAUCUGGCCUGCAGCUCCACUGCACUCUCUCCACCAACCCUUCCCUCAGUGCCUCCUUCCUAGAUGCAAAUCCUUUACCCAUUCUCUCCUCUCUUCUGCAGCUCUCUGCUUCUCCUUAAGCAGCUGCAACACCAUUGCUGUGGGAAUAACCGUCACCGGUUCCCCAGGAGGCAGAGUGGCCGUGUCCCUGGCCUCACGGCGGGACACCAGAAGGAAGAUGCUCCAGAAGCAGUGUCAGCUUUUUUCUGCCGCUGAGCUGUGCUGUGGCUCCCCUUCCCCAGCUGCUGCUGGCAAGGCAGCGAUUAUGCUCUCAUCGA